CCCUUAGUAACGGCGAGUGAACCGGGAUGAGCUCAAAUUUGAAAUCUGGCGUCUUUCAGGCGUCCGAGUUGUAAUCUAUAGAGGCGUUUUCCGCGCCGGACCGCGUCCAAGUCUCUUGGAAUAGAGUAUCAAAGAGGGUGACAAUCCCGUACUUGACGCGACAACCGGUGCUCUGUGAUACGUUCUCAAUGAGUCGAGUUGUUUGGGAAUGCAGCUCUAAAUGGGUGGUAAAUUCCAUCUAAGGCUAAAUAUUGGCGAGAGACCGAUAGCGAACAAGUACCGUGAGGGAAAGAUGAAAAGCACUUUGGAAAGAGAGUUAAACAGCACGUGAAAUUGUUAAAGGGAAACGAUUGAAGUCAGUCGUGUGGGAAGUAUUCAGCCGUCUCUGGCGGUGUAUUUGCUUCUCACGGGUCAACAUCAGUUUGAUCCGGUAGAAAAAGGCUGGAAGAAGGUGGCACCCUCGGGUGUGUUAUAGCUUCCUGUCAUAUGUGCCGGACCAGACUGAGGAACGCAGCUUGCAGCAAUGCCGGUCGACGCGGCCG
rnacentral:rRNA from 1 species